rnacentral:sRNA from 1 species
AGCAGUUUGUGAAAUAAUGGUAUUGAGACGGGCCUUAAAGUUUUUAUGUUUUAUUUUCGUUGACAACGCUUCCAGCCAGUGAUAUAGUCGGAAUUGUGAAGGACAAAUCUUCACGGCAUUUGAAGAUGAAGGGAAUGUUAUCGACAUGCAAGGUAAAGUAAAAUGGUUUAACGCUGAGAAAGGCUAUGGCUUUAUCGAGACUGCAGAAGGCAACGACGUAUUCGUUCACUUCUCCGCUAUCCAAGCGGAUGGCUUCAAGACUCUGGAAGAAGGUCAAGAAGUUGAGUUCGAUAUCGUGGAAGGCGCACGCGGUCCACAAGCAGCUAACGUAAUCAAACUGUAAUUAUACCGACGUGAGUCGAAUUAUAUAUGAUUCCGAUUAGCUAGACGCAACCCCGGCAGAUACAGCCGGGGUUUUUCA